GAGAAAGUCAGCUGGGGGUUGCGGUCCCGGGAAGGGUCCGGGUUCAAUGCGGAGGAGAGGCAUUCAAGAAACAGGAGCUAUCAACCAAAGCUGGUCAGGCCAACCAAAAGACCCCUCACCCACGAUGCUUGCCCGCCCCUGAGCCAGACAGGAUCUGGGGAAUGAACUGAGUCACACAAGGCCCCCUGCCUCGCAUCCCCAACCCUCAGGACGGCAGGACAACAUCUCACUCUGUCGCCCAGGCUAGAGUGCAG
rnacentral:lncRNA from 1 species